UACCAGCUCUCCGAGUGGUAGGGAUGAUUAUUGGGCUUAAAGCGUCCGUAGCCGGCUUAGCAAGUCUCCUGUUAAAUUCAGCGACCUAAUCGUUGAGCCGCGGGAGAUACUACUAGGCUAGGAGGCGGGAGAGGUCGACGGUACUUUCGGGGUAGGGGUGAAAUCCUAUAACCCCGGGAGGAACACCAGUGGCGAAGGCUGUCGACUAGAACGCGCUCGACGGUGAGGGACGAAAGCUGGGGGAGCGAACCGGAUUAGAUACCCGGGUAGUCCCAGCUGUAAACGAUGCGGGCUAGGUGUUGGGGUGGCUACAGGCCACUUCAGUGCCGCAGGAAAGCCAUUAAGCCCGCCGACCUGGGGAGUACGGCCGCAAGGCUGAAACUUAAGGAAUUGGCGGGGGAGCGACCACAAGGCGUGAAGCUUGCGGUUC
rnacentral:rRNA from 1 species